rnacentral:rRNA from 1 species
GAAUGCGAUACAUACCAGCAUAAUGCACCGCGAUCCAUCAGAAAACUCGAAGUAAGGUGCUUGGGCGAGAGUGUACUAGACAUGGUCCGUGACUCCCCGGGAAGUCCUCCGUGUUGCCAUCC